GGGCAAGUAAGGCAGCUGCCCAGGAAGAGGGGGAUCCCUAGCGCACGCCCUCAGGGGCCUCUAACCUGGCGGGAAGGUGCUCGGCCGAGGAGCUGGCUCCACCAAGAGGCGGGCGCGCGCACCGCACCGUGACCUUGGGGAGGCUCCCCCGCCGCCCGAGCACCCUGUGCCAUCAGGAUGCCCUCUAGCCAGGGCCACAUCCCUGGAAACCAGGGGCGAAGGAAGAACAGCUGGAUGACCAGCUUCGCCGGGAGACCGGACCACAGGGCCAGAAGUCUCAGCAGCGGCCGGCCUGCUUCCCCCAACAGGCGGCCAACAGUGACCGAGGAGUUUCAGUUCUCCUGCCCCCAGAGCAGCCCCGUCCCAGCUGCUCCCAAGGGAACAGAGGUUGACUUCCGUGGACGGUCUGUCCUCCCUGCCUGAAAGGUCCCCCGGAGAGGGGGACACCGCACCCCGGCCCAGGCUCUGAACCCCGUGCCCGCUGCCCGCUGCCCACUGACCCCUCCUCACCGGGGGCCCAGCCCACCCUGCCUCCGGGGAGAUGUCACCAGUGGCCCCAGGCCGGCGUGCUGUGGCUUCUGAGAAGGAACCGCCCCGGCCAGCAGCUGGACCAGAGCCAAGCUCGGACCACUCACAGCGUGGCCGCGACCUGCCGAGAGGCGGGGCCCACAGGGGGUGGGACAGGCAGAACUGAGGAAGCAGCGGGCCCCGUGGUGACAGUGACCCCCUGUGCUAAUGCCAGAGGCAGGCCGUGUGCCUUCUCAACUCGCCCAUCGCGAGGAACUCGGGGCCCCGGGAGCCAGUGCCAGCCCCAUGUCAUGGCACCGAGAGGCUCUGAGGGGCAAAGCAAGUAGAGUCCAGAGCCCGGCUGCCAGGUGGCCAUGGGGCCUGGGCAAGCAGCGACUCCCCCCGGACAGUGCCUCCUAACGGUCACGGGGGUAAGGACACUGUUGGCCUGGCUGAGAUUUGGGGGCUUUUGGGAGAACCGCACACCACGGGGCCAGGAGCACUUGUGGAGGCCAGAAUGCCGACGCCGUGGUUCUUACUGCCUGUGGGCCCCCUCUCACUGUGGGAGCCUCCCCUGUACCCCCAUCACACCCGGGACGGCGGCACAGCCUUCUGCCUACUGCCCUGACCCGGGGCCCUACUUGUCUCCUGGUCACAGGGCAGGGACCCCCUCCAACGCUAGAUCCUUUCCCCCUGCCCCCCCACCCCCCGCUUCCCUGCUGUGGCUUCUGUCGCCGCAUUCCCGGCCUUCCCCCCGUGUCUCCCUAAAUUCCACCUCCCUCCCUGCCCUCAGCACCGGGGCCCCCAAAGUUCUUCCCGGUUCCUCUUGGCCCCAUCCUGCAAUCCGUCCACCAUCUCAGCAUCCUGGCCCCAGGGAGCUGCCUCUCCAGCCUUCCCACCUCUGACGGGUCUCAGGCCACCUCACCAGCUCAGGGGCCGGGCACUGCCACGCUGGAUGGCCCGCUGCAUUUCAACGCGACAUGGCUGGGCACAGCUCAGCAUCAACCUGGUCCCCAACUCCAGGAGAGCUGAAGGAGUGCCAUCCUCCCCAGCAGCCAGGGCAAAAGCCCAGACGACUCCAGAUGCUCCCCCUGCUGUUCCCCAGUCCCUGCUCCCGCCCCCCUCACCUCUUCACCUCUGCGGUGACUUGGGAGUGAGGCCAACACAGGCUCCAGCCCGUGCUUGCAUGCAAAUUGCACAAGUCAUGGUACCUCACAGGGUUACGGUGAAGGCUUAAUGAAAUCCAGCUGGCCCUCGAACAAUGCAGGAGUUAGGGGCACCGACCCCCACAUAGCCACAAACCACAGGCAACUUUCAGCUCCCCCAAACUUAACUACUCAUGGCCUCCUGUUGACCGGAAGCCAUCCCCGUAACAUCAACAGCCAAUUUACACAUAUUUUGUGUGUUAUACGUAGUACCUACCGUGUUCUUACAGCAAAGUAAGCUAGAGAAUGUUAUUAAAAAAUUCAUAAAGAA